rnacentral:rRNA from 1 species
AACGAACGCUGGCGGCAUGCCUAACACAUGCAAGUCGAACGAGACCUUCGGGUCUAGUGGCGCACGGGUGCGUAACGCGUGGGAACCUUCCCUUAGGUUCGGAAUAACUCCCCGAAAGGGGUGCUAAUACCGGAUAAUGUCUUCGGCCCAAAGAUUUAUCGCCUUUGGAUGGGCCCGCAUUGGAUUAGCUAGUUGGUAGGGUAAAAGCCUACCAAGGCGACGAUCCAUAGCUGGUCUGAGAGGAUGAUCAGCCACACUGGGACUGAGACACGGCCCAGACUCCUACGGGAGGCAGCAGUGGGGAAUAUUGGACAAUGGGCGAAAGCCUGAUCCAGCAAUGCCGCGUGAGUGAUGAAGGCCUUAGGGUUGUAAAGCUCUUUUACCCGGGAUGAUAAUGACAGUACCGGGAGAAUAAGCGCCGGCUAACUCCGUG